UGGGGAAUUUUGGACAAUGGGCGAAAGCCUGAUCCAGCAAUGCCGCGUGUGUGAAGAAGGCCUUCGGGUUGUAAAGCACUUUUGUCCGGAAAGAAAUCCUUGGCUCUAAUACAGUCGGGGGAUGACGGUACCGGAAGAAUAAGCACCGGCUAACUACGUGCCAGCAGCCGCGGUAAUACGUAGGGUGCAAGCGUUAAUCGGAAUUACUGGGCGUAAAGCGUGCGCAGGCGGUUUGCUAAGACCGAUGUGAAAUCCCGGCGUCACUAGGCAUGGAUGCUGAUGCUGGCAGGCUAGAGUAUGGCAGAGGGGGGUAGAAUUCCACGUGUAGCAGUGAAAUGCGUAGAGAUGUGGAGGAAUACCGAUGGCGAAGGCAGCCCCCUGGGCCAAUACUGACGCUCAUGCACGAAAGCGUGGGGAGCAAACAGGAUUAGAUACCCUGGUAGUCCACGCCCUAAACGAUGUCAACUAGUUGUUGGGGAUUCAUUUCCUUAGUAACGUAGCUAACGCGUGAAGUUGACCGCCUGGGGAGUACGGUCGCAAGAUUAAAACUUAAAUGAAUUGACGGGGUCAUAGCUGUUUCCU
rnacentral:rRNA from 1 species